rnacentral:rRNA from 1 species
CGAGUCGGUUUAAGGAUACGUUCGUUGGGUAGGGGAGCGUUCUGUAAGCCUGUGAAGGUGGCCUGUGAGGGUUGCUGGAGGUAUCAGAAGUGCGAAUGCUGACAUAAGUAACGAUAAAGCGGGUGAAAAGCCCGCUCGCCGGAAGACCAAGGGUUCCUGUCCAACGUUAAUCGGGGCAGGGUGAGUCGACCCCUAAGGCGAGGCCGAAAGGCGUAGUCGAUGGGAAACGGGUUAAUAUUCCCGUACUUGGUGUUACUGCGAAGGGGGGACGGAGAAGGCUAUGUUGGCCGGGCGACGGUUGUCCCGGUUUAAGCGUGUAGGUGUGUGUUCCAGGUAAAUCCGGUUCACUUUAACACUGAGGCGUGAUGACGAGGCACUACGGUGCUGAAGCAACAAAUGCCCUGCUUCCAGGAAAAGCCUCUAAGCAUCAGGUAACAUCAAAUCGUACCCCAAACCGACACAGGUGGUCAGGUAGAGAAUACCAAGGCGCUUGAGAGAACUCGGGUGAAGGAACUAGGCAAAAUGGUGCCGUAACUUCGGGAGAAGGCACGCUGACACGUAGGUGAAGUGAUUUACUCACGGAGCUGAAGUCAGUCGAAGAUACCAGCUGGCUGCAACUGUUUAUUAAAAACACAGCACUGUGCAAACACGAAAGUGGACGUAUACGGUGUGACGCCUGCCCGGUGCCGGAAGGUUAAUUGAUGGGGUCAGCGCAAGCGAAGCUCCUGAUCGAAGCCCCGGUAAACGGCGGCCGUAACUAUAACGGUCCUAAGGUAGCGAAAUUCCUUGUCGGGUAAGUUCCGACCUGCACGAAUGGCGUAAUGAUGGCCAGGCUGUCUCCACCCGAGACUCAGUGAAAUUGAACUCGCUGUGAAGAUGCAGUGUACCCGCGGCAAGACGGAAAGACCCCGUGAACCUUUACUAUAGCUUGACACUGAACAUUGAGCCUUGAUGUGUAGGAUAGGUGGGAGGCUUUGAAGCGUGGACGCCAGUCUGCGUGGAGCCGACCUUGAAAUACCACCCUUUAAUGUUUGAUGUUCUAACGUGGACCCGUGAUCCGGGUUGCGGACAGUGUCUGGUGGGUAGUUUGACUGGGGCGGUCUCCUCCUAAAGAGUAACGGAGGAGCACGAAGGUUGGCUAAUCCUGGUCGGACAUCAGGAGGUUAGUGCAAUGGCAUAAGCCAGCUUGACUGCGAGCGUGACGGCGCGAGCAGGUGCGAAAGCAGGUCAUAGUGAUCCGGUGGUUCUGAAUGGAAGGGCCAUCGCUCAACGGAUAAAAGGUACUCCGGGGAUAACAGGCUGAUACCGCCCAAGAGUUCAUAUCGACGGCGGUGUUUGGCACCUCGAUGUCGGCUCAUCACAUCCUGGGGCUGAAGUAGGUCCCAAGGGUAUGGCUGUUCGCCAUUUAAAGUGGUACGCGAGCUGGGUUUAGAACGUCGUGAGACAGUUCGGUCCCUAUCUGCCGUGGGCGCUGGAGAACUGAGGGGGGCUGCUCCUAGUACGAGAGGACCGGAGUGGACGCAUCACUGGUGUUCGGGUUGUCAUGCCAAUGGCACUGCCCGGUAGCUAAAUGCGGAAGAGAUAAGUGCUGAAAGCAUCUAAGCACGAAACUUGCCCCGA